rnacentral:lncRNA from 1 species
GGAAUUUACUGACCCCAUAUAUACCGUAUUAGGUCACUAGCACACUAUGUAACGAAUUUAUCUUACCGACUAUCUUAACUUGUGAAAUUUAGACUAGUGUCCUAUCAAAAUGAGCAAGUCUUCAAUACUGUUAGCAUUAAGAAACUACUUCAUUGAACUUACAAAAACAGAUACCAACAAUAACAACUUGUUAGGUUUAAAUGUGUUUUAUGAAUUUAUUUCAAUGUUAAUCAUCACUUUCUUUGUCUGUUGAAACGUUUACGAUUUUUUCUCAGUACCGUUUUGUUUUUAUAAAGGGACGUAACACCACAACUAACCGUGUAUGAAAUAGGCCCCGCCUCCCUACUACCUUAUAAGGAAUAUUAAGGGGCGUAACUCCACUACUAACCGUGUAUGAGAUAAGCCCCGCCUCCCUACUAACCUAAUAUCAAAUAUACACGGUCUCCACGAGGGCGCUUUUAACCAAUCACAUUCCUAGAAAUGUAUAGGAGGUAAGAUAAA